rnacentral:tRNA from 1 species
UUGGAUCCUGGCCUGGGGGUAAAAAUAAAGUGUUUCUGUCUCCACCAAUUCCAGGAAAGGCUGGAGGCAUUCCUCCAAUGGGAACCUUGAAGCCUUCGGUAGAGGUGGAGACUGGUGACCCCGCUCUUGCUCCAGCCAGAGGGAGUAUUCGCGAGAUCCUGCCGCUGGCCCCUGGCGCCACUUCGUCCGCGGUACUGGCGGCGCACACGGCCGGGGUGUCGGGCCAGCGUGUGGCGGAGGAUCCUGCAGGUGGCAAAGAGAGGGCGAAUCCUCCUGCGGCCCCUAGAGGGCAACCAGAUUACAAAACACCCAGCAAGUGCAUUCUAAAUCAUUCUAAGAAUUUUCAACCCGAGGUAAAGAUCUCCCAGAACAUGAGGAUAAUUCCAGUGAGUACCUGAUUUUCUUUAUAAAGAAGCGUCAAUGUCUCUUCUUUUUCAUGCCAAUUUAAAUUUUUCUGGUAAACCUGUGUACUCCAAUUUGAUGUCUUCCUGAGUUUAAAGAGCAUUCUUAAUCCUAAUUUCCCUUUUUAUUACGUAGCUAACAGCCUUAUGCUAUCUAUACUGCAAAAUACUUCUCACAUGAGAAAUGUAAGAGGUUUUUCACUGGUAGUCUGCUGAGUUGGACACAGAUCUUCACAGACAUAUGUACUACCCAAAAGUUUUGCCAUACUUUGAAUUCCGGAUCCCUCUGAGUUGUGCCCUUCUGUAUUAAAAGUCUUUCAGUUUGCAGGCUUAGUUUAUUCAUGAGGCUUUUGUUGUAAAUUAUCCUUCGUUAGCUUUCGGUUAGGUUUCAAUUAGCACUGUCAUUGUGUAUACUCAUCUGGCUAACCACAUUUUUUAUUCUCAACCAAACAUGUAUUUAUAUUUAGCCAAACACAGAUUCUGGAAAUCAAACCAAAGCUUAGUGGCAGUUUGCUUCAAAUGAGGUAAUAGAGUGAGACCUCAGUUUGCACAGGCUCAAUCAAGACUUGAUAUAAAGGAGAACGUUCUAAAAUUCUUCAGGGUAAGGUAUCACGCAGAUGGCUUCUUGUUUUGCCUUAAGUAGUGUCAAUUCCAAGACUAUCAGGUCCUAUAUUUUGAAAAGCAGCAUGAAAAUAAAUACCAAAAGCAGAACCUAUGCAUGGGCUGCAUUCACCGCUGCUUGGAGUUUGCUAAGCCACUAUUCUCUAAGAACAUGUAAAGUAUUUUUUCACAGGACUUGUAUUUUAUCUUUCCAGAACUUCACUUUAUUCUCCAAAAACAGAGAUUGCUGAAUCUUGAGUGGGGGGAAGAGGGAUUUGAUCAUGCAUGAGUUGAUUCUGAAAAUGUAGAAAAAAGUAAAGAGACUUGAUUGCAAUGUGCUACUGUUUGGAACAGUGAACGGUAUAGGAGACAACUGGGCUCUUUUAUAUAAAAUGGUAAUUUCUCCUCUACAGAUUCCUCCUUUGAUAUAGAAAUGGCUGUAGUUUCCAAUCAUGGCAAAGGCCGGGCUGUUGCUUCCACCAAAACCUCUGCUGUGAUGGUUGUUUUUGUUCAAGAUUGUUUGUUCAUUGUCCCUUGCAAUUCCAUGUGAAUUUGAAGAUUGGCUUCUCCAUCUCUGCAAAAUGGAUGCUUAAAUUUUUAUAGGGACUGCAUUGAAUCUGCAGAUCAUUCUGGGUAGUAUUAACAUCAUAACAAUAGUAAGUCUUCCAAUCCAUGAACAUAGGGUGUUCUUCCAUUCCUUUUUAUCUUUAAUUUGUUUCUUUUUAGUACUAGGGAUUGAACCCAGGACAUUGUACAUACUGAUUGAAUCUGUAGAUAAUUUUGGCUGGUAUUAACAGCUUAACAAUAUUAUGACUCCAUAAACAUGGAGCAGCUUUCGAUUCCUUUAGCUCUUAUUUUAACUUGGUACUAGGGAUUGAACGCAGGGCCAAGUACAUGCUUUACCACUGAGCUACAUUCCAGACUUUUGAGACAGUGUGGAGGCCAGGCUAGCCUUGAAUUCACUAUGUUGUGUAGGCUAGCCUUGAAUUUGCAAUAGUCCGCCUCAGCCUCCCAAAUACUGGAACUGUAGGCAUACGCCAACAAGCUUUUUAUUUUUUGACAGUCUCACUAUGUAGCUCAGGCUGGCCUCAAACUCAUGGUGAUCCUCCUGCCUCAGCUUCCUGAUGCUGGAAUUACAGGUAUGUGCCACCACACCUGGCUCUUUACUUUCUUAAAGCAAUUUUUAAAGUUUUUAUGCAUGUCUUUUAGGCAUUUUAUUCUUUUAGAUGCUAUUGUGAAAUGGAAUUGCUUUUAAAUUUUGGAUUAUUCAUUGCUAGUGAUUUUUGAGCUUAUGCCCUACUUUGCUGAAUGUUACCUGUUUUUUCCUGAAUCUGAAAUGCCUUUAAUGAAAAUCAAUGAUCGAUUGUAUUACUUUUGUUCUAUUAAUACGAUGUAUUACCUUCACAGAUUUUUGCCAAAGACCUUGCAUUCCUAAGGUAAAUCCCACUUGAUCAUGUUGUACAAUACUUUUAAUCUUGUCAGAUUUGGCUUUUUUUCAUAUCAUCUGUAUUUAUAAGGGAUAUUGUCAUUUUCUUAGGAUGUAUUUUUCUGGUUUUCGUAAGGUCAAAUUUUUCAAUGUGGAAAUAUUUAUUAGCAAUCCUGGAUGUACUUUGUUAACAGAGGAAGCUAUAUUUCUGAGGUGUUCCACUGAAUUCAAGCAACAAGGGUUGCAAGAAAUACGGGGUCUUCUAUCCUGCAGACAUGGACUCAGCUCCAGACAACCCAGUAUAAUAAAAGGAAAAAAACAAAACCAAAAGUGUUUAUUGAUUGAGACACGAACUCAACAGUAGUCUGUGUAUGAUGGGGUGGGGUGGGGGUGCCAUGUCUGAAAACUGAUGCAAUGCGGGGUGGGCCCAUACUUGGGAGGACUCCUACCCUGGGCCCAACAGUUCUUCUAAACUGUGAGCUGCUCCAUUAUUUCUUCCUUUCCCAUCUGGCUACUUCUAGCUGCUGGCUGGCUGCCUUGGACUGGUAGCGAAGUGCCAAGAUUGGGUCCUUUCCUCAAGUCUCUUAUUAUAUAAAUCAUUUCAUGAGCAAUUCCAGAUAGGUGAGCAGAUAAAAUGAUAGCCUUUUCCCCUCAACUGGCACCUGGGGUCAAACUAUGCCCAGUAGUUUGAAACUGCCCUCUACCUUUGUCGAGCUCAACCCCAGAUAGGCUAAAUGAGGGAGGCACACCUUCCAUCACUCAAACCGGAGUGUGGGCCUUCUUAUUCAUCACUAGGUUGCUAUUAGCUGGAAAUUCUGGGACAGAGAAAUGGAAAAAGAAUCUCUCAACACGAAUGAGGAAGGGUGAAAUACCACGGCGCUGUGCCAAGUUCCUGAGAUAAGGAUGAGGACCUGGCUUUUAGUACCUCUGUGUAGUCCCUGGAGAGGAAGGAAAGCCCUUGAAGAGCCAGGCAUGAUAGGAAGCUGGCUGGCUUAAAGAGGGUUUCCAUGUUCUUCCUCCUCUGUGCCCUUACAUCCUGGGCAGACUGCACACAGAUUACUUAGGACCACAAAGAAAGGUUAGGGGUCCCUUUAGGAAUCAGAUGCAAGCUGGCCAGUCGUGCCUGAAAACACAUGUAUGCUGAUACCCACAAAAACAUGUGAACAGUCUCUGGGUAUGAUCCUUGAUCUAGCCCAGGGCCCACAUCUGAAAGAUUUCGCAGGGCUGAGAUCUGCCCAACUACAAUGGGGCCAUUAAUGAGCUUGAAACCAUUAUGCCAAGUGAAAGACGCCAGACACAAAGGAUCACACAUUUUAUAAUUUCAUUUAUAUAAAAAGUCCAGAGUACGCAAAUGGAGAAUGAGGGAGGAAGGCAGGAAGGGACACCUAGAGUGGAGUUUGGGGGGGGUGAUAAAAACAUUCUAAAAUUUUUUGUAGUGAUAGUCCCACAACUCUGAAUACUACAAGCCACUGGAAUUGUACACUUCAAGUAGGUGAACUUUAUGGUAUUUGAAUUUUACUUCAAUAAAGCAGUUUUUAAAAAGUGAACUGAGGGACUGCAAAUAACCAUACACCUGGGCUUUGGUCCCAGUUCAUGAGGAGCACAAUCAAUGUAAACUUCAGGGAUGAGUCCCUAAAUGUAGCAUAUGCAUUAGACAGGAACACAUUCUAGAAAGAGUAAGAUUAUAUAUAUAAUCUUGAUUUUUUUUUUUU